GCCUAUGUGGCUCAGGAGUUAGAGCAUCAGCCCGCUCACUAACAGGUCACAGGUUCCAUUCCUGGUCAAGGGCA
rnacentral:tRNA from 1 species